rnacentral:lncRNA from 10 species
UGCCUCCUGGUGAGAGAAUGCAGGAGUUACUCAGCAAAUAUUAGGCUAACUCUAGGCAGAUGCCUCCUUGUUCCAGGCUGACAAGCCCGGGCUUGUGCUUAUUUCACUGUCUAACCCUGCCCAGGCCCCGGGGAGAAGCCUGGUAUUCUUCGUGUUUAUUUAAUUGUCAACUCUCUGUGUUCUAAGACGAUACCCUGGCCUUGACUCAGUACAACCUAGGACUGUAAGUCCCAUCAUGUCUAUGGACUUCAGUUUCCAGACAUGAAACACAAGAGGCUUGGACGAGAUUAGAAAUCAAGAACUCGAAUGCGUAUGGUCAGAGCCACGAGAGUUUCCAUAAAGGAACACAACCAUGUGGACAACUUGAUUAUGCCCUACAAAACUGAAUUCCUGUGAGCAUUCCUCUUCAAGAUGGAAGAAAAAGGGAAUAUUUCACAACCCCAAUGGUGAAACGUCUGCCUAUAGCCAACAAUACAAUCUUCUUGCUCUGUCACCCAGGCUGAAAUGCAGUGGCGCCAUCUCGUCUCACUCGGCUCACUACAACCUCCGCCUCCCGGGUUCAAGCAAUUCUUGUGCCUCAGUCACCCAAGUAGCUAGAAUUACAGUCAUGCGUCACCAUGCCCAGCUAAUUUUUUUAUUUUUAGUAGAGACAUGUUUCACCAUGUUGCCAAGGCUGGUCUGGAAUUCCUCGCCUCAAGUGAUCCGCCCACCUCAGCCUCCCAAAUUGUUGGGAUUACAGACGUGAGCCACUGUGCUCAGCCCACAAUUACUUUUAAAAUAAAUCAAGAGCCUUUUAUACUUGUGUAAGACUUCUUUGAGCUCUGUUUUACUUCUGUAAAAAUGUUUGAGAAGAAUGACACUGUACAAGCUCUCCAUUCUGGCUAGCUGUGCUGACUUCGGCAUUAUGUCCCGUUAAGGCUGUCUAGGCUCUGGUUCUCUUGGUAGCCUCCACUCACCAGUGUAAGUCCUUGAUCUCUUCUUUAUCAGGGGGAUUUACCAUACCUAUACUGCCCAAGAGUAAGUGAUUUGAUCUAGAAAGCUUGCAGCUUCCUUAAACUCUUCUAGGUAGCCAGAUUCACUUAACUUUCUCAAUGAGCUUGAUUUGGCCCUCUUGGAAAAGCUACCGAACUAACAGCUGCCAUUGCAGGGGUGCGAAUGAUGCCUCCUAAUUAUUAAGAUUCCUCCUCUGGAUCAUGGCUGGAAAGAAUUCCUAAACAAAGUAUACCAAGGUGUAUGUUUAAAAAAUAAGUUUAAAUAUGCGUAAAAGAGAAGUAAGGUAAAUUCCCAAACGAAGGACGAAGAGAUAAGUAUAUCUGUAGAAAACAUAAACUUGAUGCCAGAUAUUUCUUCAAGGAUUGAUUAAAGGGCAAAAACCUUUUCUGAGAAAGUCACUCGCCAUGCCAUCUAGCUUAUAACCAAGAGACAAAACUAGAGAAAUAUUGGUUAAAGAAAGAUACGUUAAAACAGUGAGUCCUUUACCUAGGAGGAGAGUGCUGUGCUGUGGGGGUUAUUAAGAGGCUUAAAAAAUUCAACUUUAUGAAAGUAAAUCUGAUCUACAACAAAUAUAUCAUGUUAAAUAUACAAUUUGAUGAGUUUUCCUAAAUAUAUACACCCAAAUAAUCUCUCCUACAAUCAAUAUGUAUAAUAUUUCCAUUAUCCUCCAAAUUUCCUCAUCUGUUUUUGUAGUAAAUCUCACUCUACUACAGAUCCUGGGCAACUGUUGAUUUGCUUUCUGACAAUAUAGGUUUUUUUUUUUUUCUCUUCAAAAAUCUCAUUUAAAUGGAAUCAUGCAGUGUCUGUUUUUUUGUGUCUGUCUUUUUUGCUUAGCGUAAUGUUCUUCAGCUUCAUCAAUGUUGUUGCCUACGUUAGUAUUUAUUCCAUUCUAUUGCUGAACAGUAG